rnacentral:rRNA from 1 species
UACGAAGGGGGGCUAGCGUUGCUCGGAAUCACUGGGCGUAAAGCGCACGUAGGCGGAUGUUUAAGUCAGAGGUGAAAGCCUGGAGCUCAACUCCAGAACUGCCUUUGAUACUGGGCAUCUUGAGUCCGGAAGAGGUAAGUGGAACUGCGAGUGUAGAGGUGAAAUUCGUAGAUAUUCGCAAGAACACCAGUGGCGAAGGCGGCUUACUGGUCCGGUACUGACGCUGAGGUGCGAAAGCGUGGGGAGCGAACAGG